rnacentral:lncRNA from 1 species
AUAAGAUCAAUGGCUUGCCAGAUUGGUAAAGGUCUGGAUACUCUCAAGCGGCUACUGGCUUGAAGCUGUGAGUAGCUUUCAGAGUUUCUGGUUCUUAAUCCCUAUUGCCACAGGUUGAUGAAAUACACCCCUCUGCACAUAUUUUGAAUAAAUGUGUCUGGUCGGACUAGUCUUUUUAUCAGAUCGUUCUUAGGUUAAAGUUGAAGAAGUCAUAUUAUAAGUGACAGAAAAGUUGAAUC